rnacentral:misc_RNA from 1 species
UUUUUUUUUCAUCAAUGAUGAAAAGGAAAGAUAUUAAUUUGAAAGAGCAUGAGGAACUAUUUGAUGAGGGUAGACAAGAACCCAGGAAUCUACCAUCUGCUGAAGAACAAUUAAGAGAUGAGAUUCGGGAGUGGAGAGCCCCCAGAAAGCCCUCAGAACAUCAUGAACCCUCAAAUGGUGAUUGGGAUAAUGAUGAUCAGAGGAAACAAUAGAAAUCCGCUUGGGUUGCAAUAUAUAAUUUUUCAUUGCCUUGCAACAUUUGUGAUUAACCAGUCGCAGAAUUGAUUACUGUAAUAUAUGCUUGAAAAAAAAUUACACUCUUUUUAGUAUGCAGUUUUUCAUGACAGAGAAGCUGGUCACGUUAUCAUCUAAAAUUUCUUAGUAGGAUUUCUAUUGUUUCCUCUGAUCAUCAU